CGCACUUCGAGAAGAUUUCCGAUCUUUUGUUGAGUAGAAAAUCUACUAAAAUCUACGACCAAAAUCUACUCAACAAAAGAUCGGAAAUCUUCUCGAAGUGCG
rnacentral:miRNA from 1 species